rnacentral:rRNA from 1 species
GACGAACGCUGGCGGCGUGCUUAACACAUGCAAGUCGAACGGACAGGCCCUGCUUUUGUGGGGUGCUCGUGUGGCGAAGGGGUGUGUAACACGUGAGUAACCUGCCCCUGACUUUGGGAUAACUUCAGGGAACUGGGGCUAAUACCGGAUAGGAGCUCCUGCUGCAUGGUGGGGGUUGGAAAGUUUCGGCGGUUGGGGAUGGACUCGCGGCUUCUCCGCUUGUUGGUGGGGUAGUGGCUUACCAAGGCUUUGACGGGUAGCCGGCCUGAGAGGGUGACCGGGCACAUUGGGACUGAGAUACGGCCCAGACUCCUACGGGAGGCAGCAGUGGGGAAUAUUGCACAGUGGGCAGAAGCCUGAUGCAGCAACGCCGCGUGCGGGAUGACGUCCUUCGGGUUAUAAACCGCUUUCGCCUGUGACGAAGCGUGAGUGACGGUAAUGAGUAAAGAAGCACCGGCUAACUACGUG